rnacentral:precursor_RNA from 1 species
UAUUUUUACAUCUGUUAAGGGGCCCCCUCUACUUUAACAUGGAGGCACUUGCUGUGACAUGACAAAAAUAAGUGCUUCCAUGUUUGAGUGUGGUGGUUCCUACCUAAUCAGCAAUUGCGUU